AGAAGUCGUAGAGCAAAACAGAAAAAAAUGAAAUCAAAAGAGAUAAUACACCGUGUAUUGAGCCUUUCUAUUGCUUUUAAAGAGUUCAGUAGAAAAUAUAUAUACAUGCUCAACCUAAACAUACUAUUUGACCUACUGCAAGUUGUUCAGUUUUUAUUGUUACUCCUGUUUCUUCUUAUAUAUGGGUGCUAGAAAAACCAGCAAGUAAAAUGGCCAAUAUCAGAUCCGUAGUACGUCUUGUUUUGAAAUGAAUUCUCUUCUUUUGAGAAAUAUUU
rnacentral:lncRNA from 1 species